ACGGUACCUGCAGAAAAAGCACCGGCUAACUACGUGCCAGCAGCCGCGGUAAUACGUAGGGUGCGAGCGUUGUCCGGAAUUAUUGGGCGUAAAGAGCUCGUAGGCGGUUUGUCAACGUCGGGUGUGAAAACCGGAGGCUUAACCUCGGGUCUGCAUUGGAUACGGGCAGACUAGAGUGUGGUAGGGGAGAUGGGAAUUCCUGGUGUAGCGGUGAAAUGCGCAGAUAUCAGGAGGAACACCGAUGGAGAAGGCAGAUAUUUGGGCCAUAACUGACGCUGAGGAGAGAAAGCGUGGGGAGCGAACAGGAUUAGAUACCCUGGUAGUCCACG
rnacentral:rRNA from 1 species